AGAAAGCCUGUGUGCAGUGGACUUCAGUGUCAUAGGUCUUGGACUCUUUUUGCGCUGACUGGUGCACGGGGAAUUGCUGGACUAAAUGACAGCUAGGAGCAGUUUCUGACUAAGACAGACUCCUUUAGGAUCUGAUUUUUUUUUCCCUUUGUUAAAGAAAAAUGCCUUCCUUGAGUGGAAAAGUGCAGACUGUCUUGGGCCCUGUGGAGCCAGACUGUCUU
rnacentral:lncRNA from 1 species